CUGGCCAGGAGCAGAGGGGGCAGCUGGGGGGAAAGGGGGGGCGCGGAUGUGAGCCUGCGAUGGUCACGGGUCCCCACGCCGAGCCUUGUCACCGGGGUUGUCCUCGGUGGCCACCGGUGGGCGUGAUGAAGUGCGCACGGAGACGGAGGGCACACGGAGACGGAGGGCACACGGAGACGGAGGACGGAGGGCGCACGGAGACGGAGGGCACACGGAGACGGAGGGCGCACGGAGACGGAGGGUGCAAGGUGACGGAGCUCAUACACACGUGGGAGAGGAUCCUGCCCCACUGGCUGGGGACGGUGACAGCUCCCCAGUCCCCUCCUGCAGCCCAUCCACCCCCCCCACACUAAGGGGUACCAGUCCUGGGGUCCCCGUGCGCCUCCGCACCCACGCAGCACCUUUGUCCUUGGCUCCCAGCCCGGUCCUGGCCCCGUACGGACCCCACCAAGAAUCGCCCCGUCCCCCAUCGCCCCGCUUCAUCCUGCUCCUGCCGCCCCUGCAAGGGGGAAGACGGAGCCGGGAGUGUCCCUGGGGACACGAGGGGACACGGCGAGCCAGGGGCUUGCAGCUCGCUCUGCACCACUGGGGGGCCACCAGCCCCCCCGCCGGGGUGACGGGCACGUGUGCUGUCAUCGCCUGGUGGCCCGAAAACACCAGCUGGGGUUUUGGGGUGACGAGGUCUGGGCCAAGGCAGGGAGAUGCUGGAAAAAAAACUGGGGCUCCUGAUGCAGGUCCCAGCAGGGCUGUGGCCGAGGGGUGUACGGACGUGGGGCCCCCCCGAUGCUCCCCCGGCCCCGAUACCAGCCGUGCCCCCACCCCUGCUCGCCGCCCCCUUUGCAGCCACCGAGCCCCCAGCACCCACACGGCUCCAGUCCUCCCAGUGCUCCCAGUUAGCCGGGACCAUCGCAACCAGUGGGGAUGAGGCUCCCGGCGCUUUCACCUGUGCGCCCCCCCGGCGAGAUGUGGCUCGCGGCACAUCUCCAACAGCCUAAUCCGGCGGUCUGACGGCUCUGGGAUUCAUUAAAGCUCUUUUCACCCGGCGGGCUUUAAUUGCGGCGGUCGCCUGACCCCCAGCACGCCGCCGGCCCCGCGGCCACACCAGCGGUGACACCGGGGGACGAGGUGGCACCCCGCAGGGAACACGACGGGAGGCGGGGGGGGGACCCGGUGCCACGAUCCAUCCCUCCUCCCGGCACGGGGUGGGGGGGGUGGGGG
rnacentral:lncRNA from 1 species